rnacentral:rRNA from 1 species
UACGGAGGGGGCGAGCGUUGUUCGGAGUUACUGGGCGUAAAGCGCACGUAGGCGGUGCGGUAAGUCAGGGGUUAAAGGCUGCAGCUCAACUGCAGUAAGGCCUUUGAUACUAUCGUGCUAGAGUGUCAGAGAGGAUGGCGGAAUUCCCGGUGUAGCGGUGAAAUACGUAGAUAUCGGGAGGAACACCAGUAGCGAAGGCGGCUAUCUGGCUGGUAACUGACGCUGAGGUGCGAGAGCGUAGGGAGCAAACAGG